rnacentral:lncRNA from 1 species
GUAGUGAACUUUUUAAAGAUUUAUAUUUAAGAAUGAAGGAAGUACAACAAAUGUAUUGUGAAAACCACCACAAUGAAGCGUGGCUCUGUAGAAAAAACUCUUUUACGAAAUCUUUACGCACAGCAUUGAUUUUUGUCCUAAUCAUUUGAAAAAAACACAAAACCUUCUGUUCGUCCCAGUUAACCUCCAUUAUGACAUGUGGGUCCCGUUUUCUGACGACCUGACGUAACGGCUCGAGCUCACGCCGUCUCAUGGCGCUACAGUGGCAACACACGACGCGGCGCGGUCAAACCCGCAUCGAAACCGCAUCUGGGCUCACUCUCUCGCAUCUCGCUCACUCUCUGUGUUGUUCCCACUCUCUUUUCUUCUCUCGAGCCGCCGCCGCUGGUCACCGUUCUGCUGCUCCGCCCCGCCAGUCGUGCCAUGUCCGUCGUCCGUGCCGUCCGCGAACCGCCAUGGAGUAUGAGGAGGAAAGCAGUGACGACAACAGAGGGGACUACUCCGGCAUGCUCUGCGAAAACAGCCAGGACGACGACAAGUACGAGGCCAGUGCUCACAAUUAGGGUUAGUGUUCUAGCCUAUUUGAAUUGGGGAUUUAGGGUUAGGGUUCUAGCCUGCUGCAUUUGGGGAUUUAGGGUUCGGAUUAGGGUUCUAGCCUGCUGGAUUUGGGUUUGGGGAUUUAGUGUUUCUCAUUUGUGAAUUUUGCUCGCUUUAGAUCCCUGCUAGCAUUGAAGACGAGGAUUACAAAGGCCUUGAGUUGGAGCCGGAAGCAUGGCAAAGCAUGAGAGAGACUAGGCUAGCUCGGCCGGUUUGACGUAAGAGG